rnacentral:tRNA from 1 species
CAAGUUGAGCCAAAGUGGUGUUAUUAUUUACAAUAAUAUUUUAAGUAUGUGCGAUUCAUCUCUUCUUGA